rnacentral:rRNA from 1 species
AUUGAACGCUAGCGGGAUGCUUUACACAUGCAAGUCGAACGCGUGGCGGACGGGUGAGUAAUAUAUCGGAACGUGCCCAGGAGCGGGGGAUAAAUACUCGAAAGAGUGGCUAAUACCGCAAAAUAUUGGAGCGGCCGAUAGCGGAUUAGAUAGUUGGUGGGGUAAAGGCUCACCAAGGCAACGAUCCCGAGCUGGUUUGAGAGGACGACCAGCCACACUGGGACUGAGACACGGCCCAGACUCCUACGGGAGGCAGCAGUGGGGAAUUUUGGACAAUGGGUGAAACCCUGAUCCAGCCAUCCCGCGUGUAUGAGAAGGCCUUCGGGUUGUAAAGUACUUUUGGCAGAGAAGCGGUAUCUGCAGAAUAAGCACCGGCUAACUACGUGCCAGCAGCCGCGGUAAUAC